GUAAAGAAAAGAAAUAGCCUUGUGCUGACUGGCAAAGAGAAGAAAUAGCUCGGCUUUGAGUCUGAUGCCCUGUUCCUUCCUCUCCCCUGCCCCCAUCCUGAAGCAACCUACAUUUCUUGGCUCUGUUCAGCUAUUAGUCUGUUAGAGCUGUGACGUAAAUGACUCGCAGCAAGUGACCCCUGUGGCAAACCUGUAAAACAUUAUACAGCAUGAAUAAGAACUUUCUUAUUAAGCUUGCAGCUGGCUAGAUGCAGACAUAUGGCAGUGAGGAUGUUUUGGAAGAAAGGUUUCUGAGACUGGUGCUAUUCUGCUGUGUGAGAUGUUUUGGAAUCCUAGGCUCAAAUGUACUUAAUACAUUAAGUGAAGUAAAUUUGUCAGGACCAUCUGUGUCUUUUAUGAGCACGAUAUUUUUAUUUUUUCAAAACACUUCCCAGAACAGACAUCAUGUUGACUAGAUUUUUUAUAUGUAGAUCUUUGUGCUUCUCUUUUCCCCCCUUUUAGAUGUUAGGUGACUGUCACUGGCAUUGGAAACAUACAGGUUCUGGCAUUUCCAAAGGAGGAUCCUACAUGUAGGAAAAGAGACUUCCUUGAUCCCUCAACUUUACAUAAAUAAUGAUAGUCUUCAAUCAGUCAAUGAUGAGGUGCACCUUUACCCUGCCUUCGGCCUGACUUCAGACUAACACGGCUAACUACCUCUCUCAUCUCAUCUUGCAUCAGAGUAUAGUGAGACCACAGAUGAAUGAAGUGAAUCAGAGAUGAAUAAACUUUCUUGCGUAACAGCUCAUUUUAUCAGAGCAUAUCACCAAAACCUUUGCAUCUCAGCUUCAGUUAAACUAUAAGGUGUAUUGCUACACUGUGUGCUUCCUAAAUUUGUUCCAAAUCCAAUGAGGAUUCUGCAAAAUUAGUGCUUUUCAAAUGCUUUAACUUCCUCAGAGGUUACAAAUGGUACAUUAAAUAUGCACUUCUACUGGUAGCCAUGUCUGCUUGGUAAAUUUAACCAUACCUCAGAGUGUUAUCCUCAAGUACACUGCACAACAUCAGGUGGGCUGUUUUCAAGACCAGAAACAAUAGCGGCCACAUCCAUGCAGACCAUUUGGCAGGCUGAUGAGCAUGGAUGUGUGAUGGUUCUAGCUAGCUUGCCAAAAGGCCACACACGUGUGGCCACACAGUUCAUUAUUUGGGAGACAGCCACCUUCUCUGUAUACAAAGGGAGGUCUUUGGGUAUAACUUCUAUUAUCACUUCUUAUUUUUAAUGAAGCAGCCCUUGAGAGCCCCUGUUAUAGCUCAGUACCCUGUUGUGCUCAGGGCUAUACAGAUCCAGAACAAUGCAGUCCUUUCCCUGCCCCAAGAGGUCAUAGCCUAUGUUAACUUUUUGCUUGAGGGCUAUGUUAACUGUGAUUGCUUUAAAGAAAUUCCUGCCCUGCAUGAUAUUCAGCACCUUGCAGGAGCAGGUCCUUGUUACAUGGGAUUUCAUGUUUUAAAUACAGUAAAUUGUUUCUGUUAUAGUUCUCGGCCAUUUCAUUCACUAACCAACAAGCUCUUCAGCUGACGAAGGCUGAGUUGCUAGUGCUGAAGACUGCCCUUUCAGCGCUAUUAAAAUUCUGAGCUUCAGUAACAUAUUACCAUAUUUAAUUACAUACUUUUUGCACCCAGUUCCCUUAGAAUCAGUCCUCCAAAACUGGAGUGUGGGUCUGAAGUGUGAAAGCUGAUCUUUCUUUGCUGGAAUAGAAGCGUGCCUCACUGGCUGCCAAAUUGGCUGCCACUUCUCUAUGGCCAUCAGUCAGAAAGGGGAAAGGCCAGUGUUAACCCUUUCGCAGCUGCUAAGGCAUUUGCAGUAACUAUUUGUAGAGCACUGUAGCUCAAGGCAAGUGAGCUGCUGCAUGUAGUCUGUAGUAAGAAGGCUUGUGAUGCAGAAACACACACUGUAGUCUUUACAGGAACUUGUAUAAAAUAUACUAUUCACAGAAACCAAGUAGCAGUCUUGCUACUGCUCUUGCAAGGGUCUGUGAGUAUCCUCAUUGUUCUCCUGCCCCACCAGGAAGUUCCUGUUGCUUCAGCCAGACCCUGUUUUGGGUUGCCACACUAUCUUACAGGGUUGGCCAUAAUUCUGGAAAAAUCAUUUUCUUUUUCUUUUCUGCAUUCUGCCUUCCCAAAACAGGAUGUAUGUUUUAUUUGUACCUGUGUAGUAUGUAAGUAAGUAAAUAUCAGGGUAUGUUCAGAGAGAUAGCAGGGUGGCAUUGUAGGGCUUUUAUAGAUGUGCUCUGGGGGAUGUGUGUGGCAGGGGGGCUUUAAUUAGAGCAGCUCCAGAGAACCGCUCUAAUUAAAGUGCCUGAAGCAUCACGUAUAUCAGUGUCUCCAAGCUGAAAAAUGGUGGCGGGGGUGCUUUAGCUAAAGCUUGUUCAACAAGCUUUAGUUAAAGCACCUCUGCUAACAUUUUUCAGCACGGGGACUCUGCACAUGACACUGGAGUCUGCUGGAGCACAGUAAUUAACAAGCUCCAGCGACUCAAUCAAGUCUUCCCUGACAUGUUGUAAUUGCAAUGCAUCGGAGCAGCCUCUCUGUACGUGUGUAGGUGCCCAAAGACUACAGUGCUAUCUUACCCUGACUUUAGACUAAUAUGGCAAACUAUACCUUUCCGCUUAUGAAUGGCUUCAUGCUCAGUCAAAUGAAAUGGGUUAAAAUUAACAUUACAUUCUGUUCAAUUUAUAUCUCUUGCAGCCAGCAUUUGUUUUCUGUUACAGAGAAACCUGAAAAAAUGUGUGUUCAUAACAUAGGAAUUAUGUUAGGAAAAGAAAAAAAAAGUUGGCAAGAGCUCAGCAGGAAUCUAGACUUUUUAUUUACUAUUUCAGUGUGGCAGUCAUGGUCCUAUCUCUGUCUUAAAUGCACAAAAGCCUGGCUCAAAGUCCUGGGCCACAAGAGAAUUUCUUUGGAAAACUGUCUUUUUUGCAUGUAUUUGAAUUCAUUGGUCUUAAAAAGCCAUUUGCCUGCACUUCAAUAAAUGAAUUAGAAGGUUG